rnacentral:rRNA from 1 species
UACGGAGGGUGCGAGCGUUGUCCGGAAUCACUGGGCGUAAAGGGCGCGUAGGCGGCCUGAUAAGUAGGGGGUGAAAUCCUGCGGCUUAACCGCAGGGCUGCCUUCUAGACUGUCAGGCUAGAGCACAGUAGAGGCAGGUGGAAUUCCCGGUGUAGCGGUGGAAUGCGUAGAGAUCGGGAAGAACAUCAGUGGCGAAGGCGGCCUGCUGGGCUGUUGCUGACGCUGAGGCGCGACAGCGUGGGGAGCAACAGG